rnacentral:tRNA from 1 species
AGGGCUGUAGCUCAGUUGUAGAGCAUCUGAUUUGCAUGCAGAAGGUCCCUGGUUCAAUCCCCAGCACCUCUG